CUGCAGCUCAAGUGGUGGCCGCUAUUAUUGGGCCUAAAACGUCCGUAGCCUGUUUAGUAAAUGCUUGGGUAAAUUGUGUAGCUUAACUAUACGAAUACCGGGUAGACUGCUAAACUUGGGACCGGGAGAGGCUAGAGGUACUCCUGGGGUAGAGGUGAAAUUCUGUAAUCCUGGGGGGACCACCAGUGGCGAAGGCGUCUAGCUAGAACGGGUCUGACGGUGAGGGACGAAGCCCUGGGGCGCAAACCGGAUUAGAUACCCGAGUAGUCC
rnacentral:rRNA from 1 species